UACGGAGGGUGCAAGCGUUAUCCGGAUUCACUGGGUUUAAAGGGUGCGUAGGCGGGCAGGUAAGUCCGUGGUGAAAUCUCUGAGCUUAACUCAGAAACUGCCAUGGAUACUAUUUGUCUUGAAUAUUGUGGAGGUAAGCGGAAUAUGUCAUGUAGCGGUGAAAUGCUUAGAUAUGACAUAGAACACCAAUUGCGAAGGCAGCUUACUACACAGUUAUUGACGCUGAGGCACGAACACGUGGGGAGCAAACAGG
rnacentral:rRNA from 1 species